CUGUCACGACGACCUCCUGACCACGGGGCCACACUGCCCUCUCCUCUUCCUCCUCCUCCUCCUCCUCUUCCUCCUGCCAUCCUUAGCGUGGCUGACUCCCCUCCGGGCAGAACCAAAGCCGGUCCGUCGUCCUCUGGCGCGUCCCCCCUCCGCCAGGCUUUGAAUCACCUCUAGCCCUCUACCGCUUCAAUAUACUAACCGCCACCGCUCAAAACCCUGCCCAAUCCUGCCUUCCUCCCCACGAACCGCACCACCACCACCACCACCACCACAGAACAGCAGCAGCAGCCGUAUCAGACAGUAGGGCCCAGACGGUGGCGGGGAGGGGGGGGGAGAAAGAGACUCAGCCUUCAGUUCGCCGCUGUGCUGCUGUCAGACGUCCUCCCAAGCAUGGGCUUAAAUGUGCGCCUGUGUACGUCUGUGGCUGUCUGCGUGGAGAGCGGUGUGGGGAGAAAGGGAGGGGGGGAGAGACGGACAGACAGUGUGGGAACUUCUGGUCAUAAAUGCGCAAAAACCAACCAAACCAUGUGAUUUGUAUUUUCUAGUCCAGGCUACGUCGAGGACUGUACUUUCACAUCAUCCACUCCCCACCUCUAUAGUGUUCCCCCGCAUAUAAUUAUAUCUCCCACAUCUCUUCCUGAACUCCCCCCCCCCCUAGCCUUUAUACGAACCCUUUCACAAUACUACAGGAUAUUUUAAACCAGACGGAAUACCUCUUCUUAGGAGUCUUGUUAGUGCUUUCUUUCUUGAUCUUCGAUUUCUUUUAUUUUUUUAAAACAAAGGCUCACAUGUUACCGGUCAGCUGGGGUCUGCUUACUAGUGUCAUAUAGAUUGUAUAAUGCACUAAUACUGACAACACGAACCACGACGAUGCACAAAUGAUGAAUCGCUGUACCAGCCGUGGAGAAAAAGCUCCUGAAGUCAGAAUUUGAGUUCAGACAGACUUCAGACAAGAAAAUGUAAAAAAAAAAGAAAUUGUAAUGGUAGGGAGGAUGGUUGUGGAGUAUGGCCUCUAUUAAUGCCCCCUACCUGCUAGAAUUGGAAAUGCAUACACUUGCAAUUACUUCUAAUCGAUCUAAAGCUUCACUGUACGUGGACCACUAUACGAAUAAAAGCUCUUCGUACGUGUGUCUGUCUGAUUGUAAAUGUUUGUGUGCUGUUGUUCUGGGGCCAAGAGCCAAAAGAGAUCAGUUUCCUCCCACGUAAAAGCGAGCUAACAAAUGAAUACGAUUUUUUGGACGAAACAAAUAAUGUAAUAAAAGAACCAUUGUUUCACGAGACUGACUUUUUGUACCUCAACACUGAUUCCCCUAUGAAAACUUCCUCUCUUGUGUUGCCGUAGCUUAAUUUCUAGGGCAGUGCCUGUCGCGAAAGUUCAGGGUAUCCAUUCCCCACGCAGUAACAUUAACAAAACAAAAACAACAUUCACUGGGCGUGUAAAGUACUGUCUGAAAUACAACCCCCCCCCCCAUAUAAAUGCAUUAAGACGUGGCUUGGCAUCCCGUAGGUUGAGGGUCAGAGUUAAUGCCGUGUUGUGCGAGGCCACCACUAGGUUGUUAUUGUCCGGCCAGGUGAGCCGACUCAGGUAGUACAUGUGUUGGCAGGGGGGAAGGGGGAUUUAUACAGGGGGCAUUUAAAUGGAUGUACUCCUUGGCAGGAGUGAUCGAAACCCCCCACCCCUUCUCUCGUGCAGGUCUCUUUCUCUUUUCCUCUCUAACUCUUGUGAACCUCUCGGAUGUAGGAAAGGGAAAGCGGAGCGCACGCCGUGAGAAACACGAGUGCCGGUGACCUGGAGGAUCCCUGGUAGCCAUGGUAACAACCCCUGCCCCCCACCUCCCCCCCCCC
ensembl:lncRNA